rnacentral:rRNA from 1 species
AUACGCCCUGAGGGGGAAAGUGGGGGAUCGCAAGACCUCACGUUAUUCGAGCGGCCGACGUCUGAUUAGCUAGUUGGUGGGGUAAUGGCCUACCAAGGCGACGAUCAGUAACGGGUCUGAGAGGAUGAUCCGCCACACUGGAACUGAGACACGGUCCAGACUCCUACGGGAGGCAGCAGUGGGGAAUUUUGGACAAUGGGCGAAAGCCUGAUCCAGCCAUUCCGCGUGAGUGAAGAAGGCCUUCGGGUUGUAAAGCUCUUUCAGCUGGAACGAAACGGCACGCUCUAACAUAGCGUGCUAAUGACGGUACCAGCAGAAGAAGCACCGGCUAACUACGUGCCAGCAGCCGCGGUAAUACGUAGGGUGCGAGCGUUAAUCGGAAUUACUGGGCGUAAAGCGUGCGCAGGCGGAUUGUUAAGCAAGAUGUGAAAUCCCCGGGCUUAACCUGGGAAUGGCAUUUUGAACUGGCAGUCUAGAGUGUGUCAGAGGGGGGUGGAAUUCCACGUGUAGCAGUGAAAUGCGUAGAGAUGUGGAGGAACACCAAUGGCGAAGGCAGCCCCCUGGGAUAACACUGACGCUCAUGUACGAAAGCGUGGGUAGCAAACAGGAUUAGAUACCCUGGUAGUCCACGCCCUAAACGAUGUCAACUGGUUGUUGGGGGAGUGAAAUCCCUUAGUAACGAAGCUAACGCGUGAAGUUAACCGCCUGGGGAGUACGGUCGCAAGAUUAAAACUCAAAGGAAUUGACGGGGACCCGCACAAGCGGUGGAUGAUGUGGAUUAAUUCGAUGCAACGCGAAAA